AAAUUGGAACAACCCAAAGAUUAGCAAGUUCCCUGCAAAAGGAUGACACAUAAAUUCAUGAAUCAUUCUAUAUUUUU
rnacentral:snRNA from 1 species